rnacentral:rRNA from 1 species
CCUACGUGAGGCUGCAGUGGGGGAUAUUGCACAAUGGGGGAAACCCUGAUGCAGCGACGCCGCGUGUGGGAAGACGGUCCUCUGGAUUGUAAACCACUGUCCCCAGGGACGAAGAUGACGGUACCUGGGGAGGAAGCUCCGGCUAACUACGUGCCAGCAGCCGCGGUAAUACGUAGGGAGCGAGCGUUGUCCGGAAGUACUGGGUGUAAAGGGAGCGUAGGCGGGACUGCAAGUUGGGUGUCAAAUCUACCGGCUCAACCGGUAGCCGCACUCAAAACUGCAGUUCUUGAGUGAAGUAGAGGCAGGCGGAAUUCCUAGUGUAGCGGUGAAAUGCGUAGAUAUUAGGAGGAACCCCAGUGGCGAAGGCGGCCUGCUGGGCUUUGACUGACGCUGAGGCUCGAAAGUGUGGGGAGCAAACAGGAUUAGAUACCCCUGUAGUC